rnacentral:rRNA from 1 species
UGCUUAAUACAUGCAAGUCGAGCGAGAAAGAGGGCUUCGGCCCUUGAGUACAGCGGCGAACGGGUGCGCAAUACAUGAGCAAUCUACCCUUGAGGCGGGAAUAACCCAGCGAAAGUUGGGCUAAUACCGGAUAAGACCACAAGAGGAGACCCUAGAGGUUAAAGGCAGCUUUCUUUUGGGAGCGGCCCUUCGAGGAGGAGCUCAUGUCCUAUCAGCUAGUUGGUAGGGUAACGGCCUACCAAGGCGAAGACGGGUAGCUGGUCUUAGAGGAUGAUCAGCCACACGGGGACUGAGACACGGCCCCGACUCCUACGGGAGGCAGCAGUGGGGAAUAUUGGGCAAUGGGCGAAAGCCUGACCCAGCGACGCCGCGUGGGUGAUGAAGGCCUUCGGGUCGUAAAGCCCUGUCAGGAGGAAAGAACGAUCUUGUGGUGAACACCCACGAGAUGUGACGGUACCUCCGAAGGAAGCACCGGCCAAUUCCGUGCCAGCAGCCGCGGUAAGACGGAAGGUGCAAGCGUUGCUCGGAAUCACUGGGCGUAAAGGGUGCGUAGGCGGCUUCUUAAGUCUGGUGUGAAAGCCCAGGGCUCAGCUCUGGAAGUGCAUUAGAUACUGGGAAGCUUGAGUACCGGAGGGGAGAGUGGAAUUCCUGGUGUAGCGGUGAAAUGCGUAGAUAUCAGGAGGAAUACCGGUGGCGAAAGCGACUCUCUGGACGGUUACUGACGCUGAGGCACGAAAGCGUGGGGAGCGAACAGGAUUAGAUACCCUGGUAGUCCACGCUGUAAACGUUGGGCGCUAGGUGUGGGAUCCCUUCCACGGGUUCCGUGCCGCAGCUAACGCAUUAAGCGCCCCGCCUGGGGAGUACGGCCGCAAGGCUAAAACUCAAAGGAAUUGACGGGGGCCCGCACAAGCGGCGGAGCAUGUGGAUUAAUUCGAUGCAACGCGAAGAACCUUACCUGGGUUUGACAUACACUGGAAAGCCAUGGAGACAUGGCCUCCGCAAGGCCGGUGUACAGGUGGUGCAUGGCUGUCGUCAGCUCGUGUCGUGAGAUGUUGGGUUAAGUCCCGCAACGAGCGCAACCCUUGUCUCAUGUUGCCAGCGGGUUAUGCCGGGGACUCAUGAGAGACUGCCGGGGUCAACUCGGAGGAAGGUGGGGACGACGUCAAGUCAUCAUGCCCCUUAUGUCCAGGGCUUCACACAUGCUACAAUGGCCGGUACAGAGGGCUGCUAAGCCGUGAGGUGGAGCGAAUCCCACAAAGCCGGUCUCAGUUCGGAUCGGGGUCUGCAACUCGACCCCGUGAAGUCGGAGUCGCUAGUAAUCGCAGAUCAGCAACGCUGCGGUGAAUACGUUCCCGGGCCUUGCACACACCGCCCGUCAC